GUCCGCGCAGGUGCUCGGGGUGUGGCGGCCGGGGCUGGCGGUCCCGGAGGCGCCGUUCCACCGGUACGCGCUCC
rnacentral:tRNA from 1 species